rnacentral:lncRNA from 1 species
GGCAGAAAAGGCCGGCGUGUGGGGCGGGCCUGGGGAAGGGACUCCCGCGGCCCUAAGGUGCUGGCGGGCGUUUGGCGUUGCAGCUGUGUGGGCGCUGGUGCGUGCGAGUAGCGCUCGAAGAAACCCAAAGGCGUCGUGGGGCUGCCGUGUGCCCCAGAGAGCACUGCAGGCCGGGUAGGGGCUAAGGCUCCCCGCAGUCUUCUGUGUGUCGUCCAGUACGCAGUUGAAAUCGUUCUCCAACCUGGCCAGUCCUCCGAGGCCCUUCUCAGGCGACCAGACUCUGUUAACAGAGUCCAUUGCUAAAACUCCUCGUUAGUAUUUACCACUCCUCCAGUCUGUGUUUUGAAGCAGUGGUUUUCAACCACUGCCCGUUUUCAGAAGAAAUCAUCUCAAGCGUCCGUGUGCUGCUAGAAGCCGGGCCGGGAGGUCUUGGUGCCGGACUCCACCCUGCAGCCCUUCCCUUUCGCCACCGCCCUGUGCUUAGAGAAACCUUAGAGUGGAGCAAUGAGUCGCCCUUGACUGAGUAACUCUUCGGGGUCAACUUCUCCUUCCACGCCAAGGAAAGGAUUCCAGGGCGAUGUUUCUGGAAAUAGAGAUCUGACCAAGCCACUGCUCUGAGCAAUGCAAACCUGAAACUACUCCUGCCAAGAAACGAUUGCAGCUCUUCCCGGAAAAGUUAAAGCCUUUGAGAAACAAAGCUGAGGUUGAAAGUAUUAGUCCAUUUUAUAGAUGAAGAAAUGGAGGCCCAGAGAGAUCACGUGACUUAGCCAAGUCCACCAAGGCCUAGGGGAUGCCAAAUUCCAGGGUCCAGAAAGAGCUUGGGAUAAAAUGAACAUCCAAGGGGAGGGCUUUGACCUGGGCUGAGUCUGCCUGUGCCGAGUCUGCCUGUGCCAUCCAACUGGAGUCUCAAGUCCUGAGGCAGGACGUCCAGAUGCCCCAGUGCAGGGUCCUCCUGAUCAACACCUGCUCCCCUGUACUCAUUAGCAACCUCACCCACCCUACUCUCAAAGCACACUUGGCUCUCAUAUCCAGGAGCUCUGCAUCUGUAGAUUCAGCAACAGCAGAUGGAAAAUAUUCAGAAAAUAAAUUGGACAGUUAUAUUUCUAU